UCACGUGAGCAGAGGACAAAGGUCAUGCCGCGGUCACGUGCCCUUGCAGUCGUCUCCAGCAGCAACGAGGAGGCCGAGGGACGCUUUUCGAGUCUCAAGGACACUAUGUACUGACCACUUCCUGAUGGACCAGUGAUCAAAGUUGUUUUUCUGAUCUAUUCCAAAUAUCUUAAUAAUAACAGAAAGCAGAAUCAGAGGAAGAAAGAAAGAUUUAUGCAUAGAAAUUACAUUCUAUCAACUGUGAUGCUGCCAUGUCUCCAGAGCAUUAUUCUGCCAUUAGCCUGGGCUUCUGGAAACUACCUUACUAACACAGCAACAUAGCCACUAUUUCACCAUUUUCUUGGUUAUGAAUGAAGUGGUUCAAGAGAUGGAAGAAUUCAUGUGGCAUUUGAGCAGAGACUUUUCCAAUCCAUUACAGUACUUGAUUUGGUGUGACACCCUCUGCAGUGCAUCUGCGCACAGAACAAGAAAAGCCUUUAUCCAGAAGACUGCUUCAUAUAUCUGAGGGGUUGAAAUUUUACAUUGGAAAUGGAAUUGGACACUGCAAGAUCAUCAGUGAAUAUCUCAUGCUUGACUUUAUGAUGGAGGGAACAUAAUUGACAAAGUAGCUGAAGAAAUUUGGACCUAUGCCAUGAUCAUGAACACCUUUAUUCAACCAUAUCCUGAGACUGAGAUGAUUGGUUUCUAACAAACACCAUAAUCUUUGUGCUAAGUAUGAUUCCAACCAGUGGCAAAAUGGUGACAUAGUGACAAUCUCACUAGACUAGAAUCCAGAGCCCUAAAUACUUGGAGCAUAUGGGCUCAGAACCCAUCAUGGUAACUGGGGGAAAUUACAUUCAAUUUAUUUUUAAAAUAAUUGGAAUUGAAAGCUAGUUUCAGCAACGGUGACCACAAAGCUAUCAUCACUUGUGAUAAAAACCUAUCUGGUUCACUAAUGUCAUUUGGGGAAAGAACACUGUCCUCACCAGUUUUCCAACUGUCACUAUAGUCCCACAGCACUGUGGUUGACUCAUAACUGUUCUCUGUAGGCCUAGAAAGCCAUUCAAUCCAAGAACAAUUGUGGAUGGGCAAUGUUGCAGCUGCCCAUGACUAAAGUUGACUUAUAAUGGUCAGCUGGACCUGUUUAGCUGACAUUAAAUAGCAGAAAAGGCAUUACCAGUUGCACAUAGCAGACUUUCACAGCCAGACUUGUAGCGUCCAUACAGGGUCACCAGAUAAAAUAAUGAAAGGUCUCAGUGAGAAAAGAUAGGGGAGUGUAGGCAGCGAGGCAUCCCUGAUAAGGGAGGCACAGACAAAAACCUUUCCAGCAAAUGAAUGUAAUGGUUCCCUUGAAUAUAGAGUAGAAGGGGAAACUUGACCCACUUAGUUGAAACAUUUUCAGGUAGUUGUAAAUUGCAUAAACAAGUACACACUGUGACAUUAGUUUUAAUAUAUUAAAUAUCAGGAAAUUUAAUUUGAUUUCUGUAGACAGGCAGCUGUAAGCACGUAAGCAUUUUUGGUAUGGAGCAUCCUUGAAAAACCUAGAUAAGAGACCUCUAGUAACCAGGAGAAAGUGAGGACUGCAGAUGCUGGAGGUCAGAGUCUAGAGUAGUGCUGGAAAAGCACAGCAGGUCAGGCAGCAUUCGAGGAUCAGGAGAAUCGAUGUUUUGGGCAUAAAUCCUUCAUCAGGAAUUAGCUCGAAACGUCGAUUCUCCUGCUCCUUGGAUGCUACCUGACCUGCUGUGCUUUUCCAGCACCACACUCUUGACUCUAAUAACAACCAGUCUGAAGUUUGUAGUUUAGCAAGAACCAAAAUACAAGUAUGAUGCCACAGUAAGCAAGCUCUUUAGGUAAUUGUUUCAGUAUUGUGAGGUUGAAAAUGCAGCCCACAUUUAUCUAUGAGCAGUCAACCUUAGACGGUAAAAAAGCCCAUUUCAUAAAUAGAGAAAAUGAAGUGACAAAUGGUGUGAAUAGACAACCCUCUAGAGAACAAACUAAGUUGUUAAGAAUGGAAAAUAAACAAUUACAGCUUCAUGACUCAGCAAGCAGAAAACUGUGAAAGUGAUUGAAUUUCAUCCUUAUCAAUGAAAUUUGAAUAUGGUGUUAUCUGGUUGGGAAAACUAAUGUGAAAGGUAUUUGAAGUAAAGACAGUGAGGCCUACCUGAGAAUCAGACUUCUGUUUUAAACCAACUUGCAGCUGCAAGAUAGAGAUUGUGUUUGUUUGAUCUCCAAAGACCGAGAGAGAGAGAAGGUGCUCCCCAAUUUUUGUCAGCCUUGUCAAAGGAUUAUGACAUCAGAUGUAAUUAUAUAUAACUUCACAUAUAAAUAACGUUAUAAUGAAACUGAAAUUUUACAUAUGAUAGCAAUUGGUAGAAAUUAGUAUCUUGUAAAAAGGUUAAUAGAGAGUACAAAUUGCCUUACAGAAUUUGAAAAAGUUAUUCGUGAUAAGCAAAUAUCCAAUCUAUUGGCAAUUAACAUGAUGCAGUUGGCAAAUGUCUGGGAAGGAUUGUAACUAUCAGUAUUGGAAACGAAUGAAUGAGCUGCAUUGUAAAAUCACAAGGACUGGUGCUAAACGUAUAUGGUAAACAUAAUGAUAUCAUGGGAGGACCCAGGACUGUUCAUAGAGAUGUCCAUCUUUGAUCGUGUUUUUACACAUUGGAUGUACAGAUAACAAUGGCGUCAAUGUUACAUGUUAUUGUAACGCAAAAUGUAUUAAAAUGCUGUGGUAGAGCCAGAGUGUUCAGCGGAAACUGUUUCCAGAGAUGUCUUCUACUCUAUGUUGAUAAAGAGCUCUGAAUAAAGAUUGACUUGUGCUGCUA